UGGCUCAGGAUGAACGCUAGCUACAGGCUUAACACAUGCAAGUCGAGGGGCAGCAUGUGGUGCUGCAACCAAUGAUGGCGACCGGCGCACGGGUGAGUAACGCGUAUCCAACCUUCCCCUUAGUAGAGGAUAGCCCGGCGAAAGUCGGAUUAAUACUCUAUGUUCUUCAAUGCGGACAUCUAAGUUGAAGCAAAGAUUUAUCGCUAAGGGAUGGGGAUGCGUCUGAUUAGGUUGCAGGCGGGGUAACGGCCCACCUGGCCUACGAUCAGUAGGGGUUCUGAGAGGAAGGUCCCCCACACUGGUACUGAGACACGGACCAGACUCCUACGGGAGGCAGCAGUGAGGAAUAUUGGUCAAUGGGCGCGAGCCUGAACCAGCCAAGUAGCGUGCAAGGACGACUGCCCUAUGGGUUGUAAACUGCUUUUAUCAGGGAAUAAAGUGAGGCACGCGUGCCUUUUUGUAUGUACCUGGUGAAUAAGGACCGGCUAAUUCCGUGCCAGCAGCAGC
rnacentral:rRNA from 1 species